UUCAGUGUCGCUGAGGCUUCAAGGAGAGAAAGGGAAGCUAGGAAAAAGGGAGCGCUUAUAAGCGUAGGUAAGUGCAAAGAAAAGCUAGUUUGGGGGCCCAUGGGAAGAAAAUGCAAGAGGGCUCCUUGGGGCAGGCACAGAAAAUGACAGAGAAUACGCCUACUGAUGUUGGAAUACCAACUAGAAGUCUGAGUUCUGUAAUGAGAACAAUUCACGGAUGAAGGCACGAAAAGAAAUGGAAUAAGGAAUGGGAGGGAUUAGGAAACAAAACCAGAGUUCUCCUCUAAGGGAGGAAAAAGGGUCUCUCAGGAUGACACGGAAGGACUUCAAAACUCUCGGAAGGAAACUCUUGCAGUUAUCAAGGGGAGUGGGGGCUUCUCAACACCCGGAAAGCCCUUCUCUGGGCUCAGUUGGGUUUACCGAAACAGGCUGGACAGAUCCCCUUAAAAGAAUGUUCAGAGUAACUGGAUGGGAUUGCAAGCUUGAAGUAGAGCUAACCAGGUCUUUCAUGGGACCCCUGGAAGGAUGCAAGGAGAACCCUCUCCAAAUCGGGAGGGUUUGGGUACUGGAGGGAAGAGCUGAAGAGGCUUCUGAGGAGUUGGAUUUGUCCCGGGAGGAGAAGGCAAGAAACUUGGUGCACUAACGAUACAAAGUAAGUUGUUUUGAAAAUUAGGAACUCCACCUUGAUAAAAAAAAGGGAGUUCCUACGCUAAUAGGAAGCGUGGGAAAGAAUCUGAAAACCUGCAGGAUUUGUCGGAAAUGCCACACACACCCCCAGACAAGCAAGGAUCUAAGAGUCCCUCACCAGAAGAGGAGUAAAGAGGAAUUCAAAGAGAACUACUGUCCGGAGAACGCAACUCUGAAGUGGUGUAGAAGAAAUCCGAAAGCACUCCAAAAGGAAGUUGGGUGCACGGACAACAGACACGCCUUUCAGUUCACUGAUCGCUCAGUACCCCAUCCACCAGCAAUUACUUGUUGUUUUAGGUGCUUGCCCAAACUCUGAUGACCUGCAUUUGAUCCUUGGAACCCACAUGAUGGAGAGAGAAAAACCAACUCUUGCAGGUUGUACUAUGGUCUUUGCUUGUAUGUUACGGCAUACUCACCACCACCCCACCCCACCUCCCACACACAAAAUAAUGUUAAUGUAAUAAUAAAAAGAGAUUUAUUUAUCUUAGUAGGGUUCCCUACUGACUAGCUGACUGAAUCCCCAGUCGGGUAUCUAAAUCUGGAGAGGCUCCAAGAUCCAGGGAGCCCAAGACCUUCUCUCAGCUUUCUUAACACGUUCCUCUUUGGCUAGGGAAGCACAGAUGGUUCCCGUAUCUGAGAAGAUCCAUUCUUUAGGAAAACUGCCGAACACGGUUCAAGAGGCUAGGGACUUAGCAGUGAACAAAGCCGCUCGUUCCCCAGCCAAGGUCGCCAAUGGAUGAGUCUUAGCGCACCCUUCAAACUUCUAAAUAGAGUAUCGGCACCCAUGGAUUCUGAGUGUUUCCCUAGUUAAUAAAACAUGGCAUAUCCUCGCAAAGAAAUAGAUCAUUUAUAGCCAUGGUUCUCAUCCUUCCUAAGGCAUCGACCCUUUAAUACAGGUCCUCAUGUUGUGCUGACCCCCCCAUCAUAAAAUUACUUCAUUGCUACUUCAUAACUGUAACUUUGCUACUGUUGUGAAUCAUAACGUAAGUGUCUGAUAUGCAGGACAUCUGCUAUGUGAUCUCCAAAGGGGUCGUGACCCACAGGUUGAGAACCACUGAUUUGCCGUCUCCUGGUACCAUCCCCAGGACUCUGACUAUGUAAUCCUUUCAUCAACCUUCUCCUCUCCAAAAAAGCUACUUCGGCCUUGGCUCUUAUGACAUUAGUAUCAUGAUGCCCGAGCAGAAGGUCCUAAGCUGGGAUCCUCAACACCCACCUAAACAUUGGGUAUGACGGCACACACCUGUGAUUUUAGUGCUGGGGAGACGGAGACAGGUGAAUUCCUGAGCUCAUCUGUCAGCAGGCCUUACCAAUUGUUGAACUCUGGGUUCAGAGGUCCUUCCUUUCAAAACAUAAGGUGACAAUAGAAGACACCCAGCAUCAACUGUAGGCCUUCACACAUGCACACAUACGCACACAUGCAUAUGUAUCAGCUGCUGAAAUACACACACACACACACACACACACACACACACAGUGUCUCAACUGCUUUAGCUAAUACCAGCUUGCUCUCCAAAACCACACCAAGUGAUAUACUUAGCAAGAAAGCAUUGGUAUUGUGCCAUAGCCUUAUCCUUACUACCUUCAGACUUUUAAGUCCUAAUUUUUAAAUAAAAUUGAAUUAUAGUAAAAAGAAUUAUCUACCAUAUUAACUAAUUUAUAGUUCUGGGGAUUAAGCCCAGCUAGGCAAGAACUCUACCACUGUGCUAUAUUGCAAUGCAUCCUUACUGAUCUUUAAGUGUGUUAUUGAUGAUAUGGGUGAUGUUGGACAGCAAAUCUCUAGAGCUUAUGCAUCCUGGUGGAAACCGUAUGCCUUUAUAGUAAUAGGUAACCACUCCCUCCUCCCCCUAAACCCUGGUACUAACCAUUCUGCUCUCAUCCUAUGAACAUGAUCAGUUCAAAUACCUUGUGUAUUUAGACUUAUGGAGUCUUUCUGUGUCGACCAUAUUUCCCUCAGCAGGAUGCCUUCAAGGUUCAUCCAUGUUACGGUGUGUGCAGAAUUUCCUGGUGGGUACUCCGUGGGGCAUUUAAGCUACAUGUUGUGUAUACAGUCGCUUCUCAGCGGACACUUAGGGCAUUUCUACAUUGUGGCCCUUGUGAGUGGUAUAGCAAUGGACAUGAGAGUGCCCACAUGGCUUCUUUGUCAGAAUGGAGCCUAGAGAAACUGGAAAUAAAGUCAUUUCUAGUCCAUGUUCAUUGAUGCGUAUAGACUUUGGGGGAUGGUUAAUUUUAGUGGGUGAAUUUUUUAUUUAAAAAUUAUAAUACAUUUUUAAUGAAUGAUAAGAAGUAUUGAAAAACUUGACAGAACAGUUUGGGAAUUGUUUUUGCCUAUACUGUCGAGGGGACAGUGUGUGUCUCCUGAGUCUAGGCAGAGCAUCACGGGGUAAGAAAACAUUGUGGAAGUUGUUCCUUACUUCUUGGUGGAUAGAAAGCUGAGCGCAGGAGACAGAAAAAAUUUAAUAAGGUAAGAAAUAGCCCCCAAGGACAUGCCCCAGUGUCCUACUUUUUCCAUCCAGCCCACCUCCUGACCUUCACCAUGUCUUAUAUUUCAUCACAGUCUCAUCCAUCAAAUGGAUAUUCAUGGGGUCAGAGCCCUCAUGAUCCACUGCCACAGUGAAUGCCAUCAGAGGCACACCUAGAGAGGUCUACUUCACUAGGCAUUGGUCGAUCGGAUCGAAUCGGCAAUCAAAACUAAUCGCCAGGAAACGGUAGUGUCUCAGCUUCGGCAGGAGCUUAGCACUGAGGAGCCUUGAAUGGGAAGCUUAUGGAGCAAUUAAGCCCUUUCCUUGGGGACCCCAGACCUGACAACGGCCAGUGCAUAGAGAUGAGCAAUUGGAUGUUUGUCUCUCUCUUGCCAGAGGGGAAAAAAAAAUGAAAUACUCCAAAAUUCAUCAAGGACUUUUGCUGUAUUUCAAUGAGCCGUGUGUAUCUUGUAUAUUGUGUAAUUGAUCUGAAAAAACCUCAUCUCAUAAACUGAGGGAACAGGCCCAUUUUCUAUUUCAUUUCUUUUAAUUAGCUAUUCCCAAGAAAGUGCCACGUGUCUGCCAGAUAAUUCCCACCCACCUGAUGGGAAUGGUGAGUAACGCUGAACCAUUGAUGGCUUUGCACUUAACCCAAAUGCCCAGAGACCCACUCCGCGGCCCCUCAUGACCAAGCUUCCAGUCAGACAUUGUCAGAACUAUUAUCCUCAUCAGAUCCUGGAGCACGGACCCAGGAGGGAGACUUGCCCAAGGUCACAGGG